AUGUUAUUGACUGGUCUGCUUUGUACUCCUCAGAAUGAACAGCCCCAUCUGAUUUCAGCACUGUGCCAUGACCAUGAACUCUACGGUUACCUCUGUGUGUCACAGGAAGACUCUUCACUAUUAAUGAAUUGA
rnacentral:lncRNA from 1 species